CUCUCAAAUCCGUAACAGAUCUCUGAAAUUUGUGAUGCCGAUGGUAUACCUAACUCAUAAUCCUUCUCUGUCGUUACUUUCAAAUCUGAGUCUGCGAUGCAGUUUACUUUGGGAAUUGAAGACGUGGUACGGUGGGAGAAAUGGAACAAUCAAAGAUAUGGUUGUUAGAAGGUCAUUAUCAUCUGGUAUGAACUUCUGAAGAAUGGUGGAAGCUUCAUGUUCUUUCAUAAAAAUGGAAAAUGGAUGUGAUAUAUGAAGCUUCAGCAAUUAUGAGUGAAGCUGAAGAACAGGUGGGUGGUUGUUGGAUGCGCACUCGUGGGCUCGAGGCUGCUAGAGUUCGUGGGCUGGGUCGAGGUUGGUCGGCUAAUGGGUUGUGGUGUUUGCUGAAGGUUGGGUCUAGAGUUUGAAGACCUGAUCCAACCCGUCCUCUGCAACUUCUUCCUUACCCGAGUUUUUGCAGACGAUCUUCCACAUACAAAGACAUGUUUCCACAUCACAUAUAUGCCAGAACUUUCAUUUAUA